UACGAAGGGGGCUAGCGUUGUUCGGAAUUACUGGGCGUAAAGCGUACGUAGGCGGAUUGUUAAGUGAGGGGUGAAAUCCCAAGGCUCAACCUCGGAACUGCCUUUCAUACUGGCAAUCUUGAGUCCGGGAGAGGUGAGUGGAACUCCUAGUGUAGAGGUGAAAUUCGUAGAUAUUAGGAAGAACACCAGUGGCGAAGGCGGCUCACUGGCCCGGAACUGACGCUGAGGUACGAAAGCGUGGGGAGCAAACAGG
rnacentral:rRNA from 1 species